GAUGAACGCUAGCUACAGGCUUAACACAUGCAAGUCGAGGGGUAGCACGGAGGAAGCUUGCUUCCUUGGGUGACGACCGGCGCACGGGUGAGUAACGCGUAUCCGACCUACCCAUAACUCGGGCACAGCCGCUCGAAAGAGUGAUUGAUUCCCGAUAUGUCCUUGGAGUAGAUUCAAUGAUGAAAGAUUUAUCGGUUAUGGAUGGGGAUGCGUAAGAUUAGGUAGUAGGCGGGGUAACGGCCCACCUAGCCGACGAUCUUUAGGGGUUCUGAGAGGAAGGUCCCCCCACACUGGUACUGAGACACGGACCAGACUCCUACGGGAGGCAGCAGUGAGGAAUAUUGGUCAAUGGGCGGAAGCCUGAACCAGCCAAGUAGCGUGAAGGAUUACAGCCCUACGGGUUUUAAACUUCUUUAUGCGAGAGUAAUGUGCGCUACGUGUAGCGUAUUGCAAGUAUCGCAUGAAUAAGCAUCGGCUAACUCCGUGCCAGCAGCCG
rnacentral:rRNA from 1 species